GGAUUGGAAUUCUAUGAGCUAUGGGAAUGAGGUGAUGCAUGGGAAAGGCUGAGAAAUUGAGGAAUUCUAAUGCAAACUUGCCUAAGGUCAUAUAAGGUGAGUCAUAGUUGGGAGUUAAUGUUUCCUUUAAUCACUAGGCCAACGUACAAGUUUUCUUUCACAUAUCCCCCAAGAAGCAAAGAAUAUGAGAGGUGUUUAGCUCUUAAAUGAUCCUCCAUAUUUUAUUGACUUGCUAGAAUUUUGUAUUGCUAUUCUUUUGUCUAUAUCUAUACCUAUAGUGUUAAGGAUAUUAAAAGAAUCAAAAAUGGAGAAGGAAAAAAACACAUGUAUUACCCCAAAUAUACAAAGAGAUGCUUAACCUAAAUUUAGUUAGGGAAAGAAGAUCACACUGAGACACCGUUUUAUACACAAGAGACCGUAAAAAAUUAAGCAGUCUAAUAAUAUCAAAUGCUGGUGAAGAUGUGGAGCAAGUGGAUUUCUUAUUCAUUGUUGGUAGGAAUAUAAAUGGAUUCAACUACUUUAGAAAAGAAUUUGGCAGUAUCUUAUAUAUAAAUUAGAGCAUUUGUACGUCACUUGACUCAGUAGUUCCACUCCCUUGUGGAUAUACAAUCAUGUGUACCAGGAAACACAAACAUGUGUUUAUAAUGGCUACAUACUAGAAACAACCCAAUUGUGGCCCCUGAAUGAAUCAAUGAUAGUGUUGUGAACCAAAGAUUAUGAUUCUGCACAACUGAUUGCAUCCAAAAUAAAGGACCAAGUCAAACAAGAAGGACCAAGAUCAUCUAACACACCACCUAACACAUGCAACAUAUGUAAUCGUUGGUUGAAUUGAUGAAUGAUAAAAACGAGGCAUUUUGGGGUAUCACAUGACUCUUUAGGUACUGAUGAAUGUUUAAGCAGCUUUUCCUUAUUUGAGACAACCAAUAUUCACUGAGCCCCUUUACCAAAUAUUUUCUCAUCGCUUAAUGAUUUUGUAUUAUAUUCAUUUGUACUAAAAAAAUGUUCAUUCUUCCAUUUUGUAACUGAAACCAGCUUUUAAACUUCUGGAGGGCAAGGACCGUAUUUUCGGUUUCCUUUUUCUCUUAUUACAGAACUACAUGGAGUGGAUAAUCAGUAACUGCUAACGACUUAAUGGUGAAACAAAAAUCCACUUAAAUUUUCCCUUUUGAAAAACAAUCUAUUUUGAAAGUAACGAAUUAUAGUCAAAAGCAGACUUUUUCAACCAAGCUAAGUGCUCUGCAACUUCAAGUGGAUACUUUUCAGGAAAAGUUUACUGUAUAUAUAGCAAAGUUGUGACAAGUAUCUUUGUGUGUAGGAAUAUGUUUGGGACAAAUACAAGGAAGUUUUUAUGUAGUAAUUCUAAGAUUUAGUGAAAUUCUUAGCACAAGGAAUCAAUGAUAAGAAAACAUUGUAUAUCUUAUAAUCAUCCAAUUAAAAACAUGCUAAACAACGUGCUAUGCUCAUUAUUUUGCUAAGAAAAUUGGAAUCCAGAAAGCCAUUGAUAUUUCAGGUCUAAGGGGUUAUUUUUGUUGUUGUUUAAUCAAGUACUAAUCAGGAGAGAUAUACUUUAUAGGAGGAGAGCCAAUUUAUCUGACAUCAAGACUGUUAAGGCGGUUACCCUUAGACGAUGAUUAUUAGUACUAUGUUAGCCUAUUUCCAAUUAAACUGAACUCUCUGUUGUAAUAGUGGUUGCAAGAGGCACAAAUUUAAAGAGAAAAAGAAGAUGUGCUUCCUUACCCUUUUCCUUUCACCCAGCGCAUCACCAAUUUAAAACUUCUGAUAUGCUAAUUGGUUCAUAUGAGUCAGGUGAGAAUCUUUUGAUAGAAAGCAACAGAAAUCCCAAACCAAAAUAACUCAACCAAAAAGGAAGAUUCUUGUUUCAUUGGUUGAGCACUCUACAUCUGAUCUGACCAGGAUUUAUUGCUAGUUCUGCUUCCUCUGGGUUGGCUCCAUUUUAAGGCAGGCUUUUUAGCAGUGCUCACACAUCUCAUCUAACGGGAGGGAGAGUUUCCUCCAAGAGUAGAGCAAAACUUGGUUCUCAUAGGCUAAUAUUGAGCCAUGUACCCAUGCCUGAAUCAAUCACUGUGUCCAGGGAAAGGAAUUAGUUUAGGUGUGAGAAACACACCUACACCUGCAGACAUGGGAGUGAGGAGUCAGUCGCCUCCAAACACAUAGGCUGCCUCUAGGAAGGGCUGAUACUUGGGCAAAGUUUAGAGUACUGUUACUGAGGGUAAUUAUGCUAAAUGGUCCAAAUAUCUACUAUAUUGUACCUUUCAAGUCAGUUCCACAUUUUCUUAUAAUAUCUUCAAUAAUUAUGAGCUAUGUGUUUUCUUUGUAUAGAGGUAUGAGGGAUGCCUGACAAGAUAGAACAAUUUUUUGUUUCUUGGUUGGUGAAAGAAGCUGCAAGCCACUUUUCUGCUGGGUGACUGUAAGGGAUCAGUUUGGAGCAGGUUUUCUUAAUUCUGAGAGGAGGUUUUGGAAGGUCUCUUCUUCUUAUGUAAAUGGAAGGAAUAGGAACCCAUUGACUUAGGAAAAGUAAGUAUCAGGCUAUUUUGUGGCUUGAUAAAGUUUUCUCCAUGUAUCUUUUGCUAUGCAAACUUGGAGAAAAGUAGAGUAAAUUUGUAUUGUCAAAGACUUCUAGAAGGAACUAAAAUCUCCCCAUUCCAUUUGAGACCACUGUAUCAGAACAUCAGAUAGAUUGAGAUGAUUUCAAAUAAGUUCACCUGUGUUCCCAAGGAAGCAUUCACACUGAGGGGAAGGCAGAUAAUGGACUAGUGAAUUACGGGAAAUCACACAGGAAGAUCCAUUCUAUAAUAGUCUGUGGCUAGAAGACCUCACUCUUACAAAAGGCAUAUUGUAGGAACAGUGGCCUAGACUGAAAGGAUAGAAGGAAAUCAGUAACUUUGGAAGCCUAUGUGUGGUACACCUCUGUAGCUUGCACUGCAUCACUGGGAAGGGUGAAAAGGCUCAAAUGAACGCACUGAACUGGAUCAGUUAAGUGCAGUGAAUUUGUAUGGUGGUACAGCAGACAUGGCGGGUGAAGGUUGGGGAUAGUAUGAAACUAGUCAGUCAGCCUGAGGGCCUUCUUUCUCCUCCUCCUUCUCUAGUCUUUCUCUUUCCCUCCCUCACUCUCUCUCUCCCUGCUUUCUUCCCUUACUGUGUUAAUUCUCCUGCUAAAGGUGAGUAACUGAGAACAGAGAUACCCCUUUGGACUGCAUAAGCGUCCCUGGUUCUUGACCACCCAAUUACGGGAAGAGCUUUAAAGAAGUAGCCAUUGGAUGUCCUUUUAAACUGGUCCUGUGGGGGAUUGAAUGAUUAAUUUGAAUAUUAAAAAGAUUUAUGAUCUUAAUUGUACCUCAAGCUGGUGAUACAGGCCACACUGAUUUUAUCAGAUUAAUUUUAAAAAACAACCUAAAACUUAACGAGUCAUUCCUAAGAAUUCUGCUUCUCCUUCUGCUUUCUAGCCUCCAAAGCUGAUCAGGCAUAAAAUUAUCUUUAAAAUAAAUUAUUCCCACACCAUCAAAUGUGGGCUUGGAUGGUAAUAAUAUAUGUAAAGAAAGAAUGAAACAAUUGGGAGAGGGAAGGGGUCGUUGGUCAGGAGAGAAAAAUGAGGGCAGGAGAGUCAAGCAUUGGCUCUUCCCCUCUUUGUAGAGGGAAUCCUGGCUCAUAGACCUGUCAGACAUCUCGGCAGGAAUAUCUCAGUUCUCAGUCAAGCUUCCUUAGCCAGAUGCCAUUGAAAAAUCAAAUCAAAUAAUUAACUCCCUUCAUUUUCAAAUUCCAUGUUCAUGAAAAAAACUUCUAAUUACAUUUUGGCCUACCCAUAAGGAAAGAGUUCACUGAAUAAGGUAUAUAUUUAACACGAAUCCUUGGUUACAGAGGAUGGCAAAAUCAGACUGAGCUUUGAAAACAUCAAUUUCAAAAUUAAUAGAAAAAAAUACAUUGGAAAAUGUAAAAAUAAAUGAAGACAAUAUCAAUCUCGACUCACACUAAAACAGGUGAUGGAAGGAUGUUACCUCUCUCCUAAAGAGAGCAAAAAGUUUGUGUUCGACUUUUAUUCUUCAUUUUUUGAGAGACCUACUAUGUGAGAUGCUAGGGAUACAGCAGCGAACAAGAUAGUCAUGUUUUCUGCCCCCGAGGAGCAAAAUUCUACUGGAGGGAAAUUGAUUAUAUAAUGGUAGUUAAAUAAUUAAUUAUAAUUUUUAGUAACAGAGGUGAAAAUGAGAAAUAAAAAGUGCUAUUAAACAUGGAGUGAGGUGCCUGUCUCAGUCCAAGGCGUCCUUCCUUAGGGAAACAACCCCGUGACCUGGGAUAUGAAGUCUGAGGGACGAAGGGUAUUCAUAGUGGCAGAGGACAGAGGAGAAGAUUUCUAGAUUGUAUCAGUCAAGGUUCUUGGUUACAGACAAUAGAAGCCAACUAACUAGCCAGCAGAUUAAGAAACAAAUUAUUGAAAAAAUCCUGGGCAUAUCACAGAAUCAACUGGGAGACUGGAAAAUAGGAUUAGAGAAUGAGAAAAAACCAAAAAAAAAAAAAAUCCCCUAAGAAAAUGGGAAAUAUAGUCCAGAACACACCAGAGUAACUGCUUGGGAUGCUGUAACUGGUGCUGUCCUCACUUGACAUUUGUGCUGAACUGUAAGUAAUGUUUUACUGUCACUGUGUCCUUGUUUCCCUUCCACAUGUUUCAAAGACUUAGCAGGAGCAUCUGAUUGGCCAAAUGUAUGACUUUUAUUGAUAAUUGCCACUUGGUAUUCGUGCCCUUAUGUGGUCUCCUCCCAUAUAGUAAUAGGGUUGAUCUGUGUGACCAAUAGAAUGUAGGAGAAGUGAUUUAUGUAACUUCUGAGGCCAGAUCAUAAAAGACAUUGUCAUUUCUGCCUUGCUCUCUCUUGGAUCACUUGGGUCUCUCAUGGAUUUGGAGGAAGCCAGCUGCCAUGUUGUGAGGACACUUAAGUAGCCUCUUGGAGAAGUGUACGUGGGAAGGAACUGAGGCCUCCUGCCAACAGCCAGCACCAACUUGUCAGCCAUAUGAUGUCUUAAUUACAACAUGAGAGACUCAACCAGAAUGGCUCAGCUAAGCUGCUCCUGAAUUCCUGUCCCACAGAAACUGUGAAGAGGGAGAGGUCCCUUCAUUUUACAGAUGAGGAAAUGAACUCAGAUUUAAAAAGUCUUUAAAUAUUUUUCAGAAUUUCUUAGGAAACAUUUGCAUGGCUAUACGAUCUACCAGUGACUGUUCUAAAAACUUUAUAAAUAUUAACUCAGUCCUCCUGGCAGCCCCCUCUGAGUGCCUACUAUGGGCUGAAUUAUAUCCCCCCCAAAUCAAUAUGUUGAAGCUCUAACCCCCAAUGUGACUGUAUUCGGAAAUGGAGCAUUUAAACGGGUAAUUAAGGUUAAAUGAGGUCAUAAGCGUGGAGGAAUCCAAUGUGAUUGAUACUCUUAUAAGAAGAGGAAGAGACACCAAGGACGUACAUGCACAGAGAAAAAGCCAUCUGCAAGCCAAGGAGAGAGUCCUCAGGAGAAACUAAACCUGUUGACAUCUUCUCCAACCUACAGAAUGGGAGAAAAUAGCUUUCCGUUGUGUAAGCUGCCCAGUGUUUUGUUAUGGCAGUCCUGGCUGACUAAUGCUAGCCAAUACCACAGGUCUACGUGAGUCAGAUUAUUCUUAUUGCUGCUUUGGCUCUCCUGUCCAUUACGGUAAUCACCCCCACCUUGCCUUUGAUGCUUGCGGUUGUAGAUAAAGAAACUGAAGCACAGGGAAGUUAAGUAACUUGUCCAAGGUCACAUAGCUGGUAAGUGGUAAAUUGGGAUUUGAACUCUCAAAAAGAAUCCACUAUCCUGUAUCUAAACAAAUCCAGACAAGAAGACUUUAACAGUUAAUACUUUCCUCAAGAACUUUGUAUCCUAUACAUACUUUUUAUUUUUUUAACUUUUUUUUUGGUGAGGAAGAUUAGCCCUGAGUUAACAUCUGUUGCCAAUUCUCCUCUUUUUGCUUUAGGAAGAUUGUCUCUGAGCUAACAUUCAUGCCAAUCUUCCUCUACUUUAUAUGAGCAGUGUGUCAGUCCACACCUGGGAUCUGAGUACACGAACUCCGGGUUGCCAAAGCACAUUGUAUGAACUUAACUACAACGCCACCAGACCAGCCCCUGCACAUAUUUUUUAAUUGAAGUUAUUGACAUAGCUUCUAAAUGGGCUUAAUAGGGGUUUUCAAAAAUUAUUUUGGUCUCCAUUGGAACAGUGUAACUGAAGGAUCCAUUCUGAGUUCUGAACUACUUGAAAAAUUUCACUCUAGACUAAAUGUUCGCUGGGAUGCACUGAAUUGUAAGUAAUCUCUGUCACAGUAUCCUUCUCUUUCACCCUCUCACUGGCUUCCAAAUGCCAGCAGGAACGUCUGAUUGGCUGAGCCUCAGGCACAGACCCAACUCCUAUCUGCCAGCUAAAUGCAGUUAACUUCCUUAGCUGUAUGGCGGGAAACUCCCACAUAAUAACUUGGAUGGAGAGAGAAUCCCCAGUGCAAGAAUAUACCCUUUUGUGUUAAUGUAACCCUAGUGUGGCUCAAGAUAUCCUCAGCCCUUGUCUUGUACUGAGACCCUCAGCAGUCAGCUGGUUCCUCAAAACACAUCCAAUUUUAUAAUACAUUCAUGAGAAAUUAACAUUUUACUAAAACUCUUCUGCACAGAGAGUAGGAUUCCCAUUGCACACAGCCCAACAGAACCUUAAUAUGAUUCUCCAUUAGAUAGUCUGUUUUUUGGUUUUUUAAAAAGGUUUUAUUUUUCCCUCUUCUCCCCAAAGCCCCCCAGUAUAUAGUUGUAUAUUUUAGUUUUGGGUCCUUCUAGUUGUGGCGUGUGGGACGCUGCCUCAGCAUGGCUGGAUGAGCCGUGCUAGGUCUGCGCCCAGGAUCCAAACCGGUGAAAUCCUGGGCCGUGGAAGCGGAGCACGCAAACUUAACCACUCGGCCGCAGGGCCAGCCCCAGAUAAUUUGGUUUUCAUCCUCAAAAUUCCUCUCCCUGCCAUUAGACUCAACUGUGAUUUUUUCCCCUUCCUUUACAUAGAUCCUAAUAAUCCCCGUUUCUGUCUUGAUUAUUUCCAUUCUUUGCAAACUCCUCUCGGCAAAAUAGAUGCCAUAUCUUCAGUGGAGCAGCAACCAUCACAAACUCUACUGCCUAUAGUUAACUCUGGUGUGGGAUGGGGUUUUGGGUAAGGAAAGAGGGAGGAAACUGUUGAGGGACUCAAAGCUGCCUGCCUUGCUUUAAAGACACUCAAAUUCAAUAAAAAACAAACAUUCAAACAUGCAACAAACAAAACCAAAAAGAACACCUCUGCUAGCUAAACAAAUUAUUUCUGUGGGUUUGUUCAGUUGGUUUGCUGCUCUUUUAAUGUAUCCUUCACUUUACCUUAAGUGACUUUUCAAAGUAUUCAUCCAAGUAAUACAGAGCUUUUUCCAACAGGAAUUCUAGGCUAAGAAGAUGGCGGUGCAUUAUGACUUGUAAACAUGGUCAAAGAGAGAGUGGGAUAAAUACUUCCCCAGUGAUCUCAGGGAUGGUAGGUAGGAAAGCUGGCUAAUCCAUACUGAAAUCACAACAGUUAAAUUGCAGCCCAAAUCGGAAAACCAACUGUCUAUUUUAUAAUCACAGUAACAGCCUGCAUCCUUAUUCCCUACUUAUUUUGCCACGUGGCAUUGGGGAGACAAUUUAGUUUUCUAUUCGAGGACAGUGUUUGAUUCUGACUCAGUCCCAGCUGAUGCAGAGGCUUAAAGUAAAGGCAGAGAUAUAGAUGUGGAUUGGAUGUGACCUGGCAUUUUGGCAAUUUUCUUCUUUUGCUAAUUGUAACAUUGCCCUUGUUUGAGUGACUUCAGAGCCCAAAUACAUCAAUUUCACAUAUAUGUGAAACAGAGCAAUCAAAUCUUAGUGGGAAAGGGUACACAUUAGCUUGUUCUAUUUUUUCUCAAGUCUUGGAUUUUCAUCUGGGGAUUUUGUAGCAUCUCUGUGUGGUAUUUUCAGGCCAUGCUGUGACUGAAUAAAGUAUUAAUGCCCUUAAAGCUAAACAUUGACGAUGCGAAGUAAACUCAAUCUGCUAAAUGUUAAUACAAUUUAUCCUUUUAAAAAUUUACAAACGUGACAUAUUGCAUGCACUUAGUGCUAAUCUAUUUUAGACAUUCAUUUGGUUUGACCUAUGACCAUAAUAUAUUAUGUUCCUUGAGAUAUUUAUCUUGUCAUUUGGAAACGAGAUUACAAUUAAUGCGACACACAUGACUUUAAAUUACUACCUCAACUAGAGAUGUGUGAGUAAUGAAUUAGCCACAGCUUUGAACCCUCUGCUUAUAAUUUAAAUUACCAGCCUUUAGCCGAUGCUUCAUUGUAAUCCAUUAAAGAAGUCACAGAAUCAUGGAACCACAUAUUGUUUUUCGAUGAUGACCUAUCGACGAUACUUUUCCAUUUAAUUUACCUAACCCUAGGCUAAUGUAUUCAAAUUCAUGUAAGAAAAACAAUCACAAGAGAGAACAUUUAUAUGUUUAGGUUAAUACUGGAAUAAAAUCAUAGCCAGACUUCAUCUAAACUAGAUGUACAAAAACAUCAUCCUUUUUUGCCGCUUUCCACUUUUCAGAAGAAAAAUAAAUAUGAUAUUGGAAAACUUGAGCUCAUACCAAAGACUUGGCCCAUAAGCCCUUUUUCAGGAGAGAUCCCCAUAGCAAAAAGCCCAAUUUGUUAUAUUUUCCACACCUCCUUCUCAGCAUUGACUUUGUCAGACUAUAAGUUCUGGAAAGGCACAGAAUAGAAACAUACUAAAUAUUUGUCAAAUGAUGUCUGUAGUGAUAAAUGAUAACCAUUUAUUAUGAAUAAUGGCAGAUUAAAUUUUGCUCACUAUCCUCCAUUUGCUAUGACGAGAUGAAUACAUUGUUUAUUUAAGCUCUUACUGUAUGCUGG
ensembl:lncRNA